AAUGCCAAAUUUCCUUAGGACCUGCAAGAAACGCAUAGUAUGACUAGCACUCAACGAGUAGUAGUGCUAUCAAAUCUGGCAAAGCAAAUCACAACGUGUAUCCAUGUUAUGGUUUUCUUAUUCUCAGAUAAUAUCACCUGUGUUCCUAAGUUCUUAUUUCUGCCAGUACCAUCUCUUACUCCAGAAUCAAUUAUCGAAUUGGAGUUGCUCAUAAUUCAAGCAUAUAAGAUUGUGCUACCUAACAAAAAAAAUAUAGAAUAUGGUGCUAACUUCAUUCAUUUCAACCUCAGAAAUCUUCAUUUAUGGCAGCUAAACUACUGGUACUUAAGAUCCACAAGGUAUAACAACAUUCAAAAGCAAGGCAGAGUAAGUACCUCAGCAUGGACAAUUCCUAAG
rnacentral:misc_RNA from 1 species